CUAGGAUGAAAUUUGAAAAAAAUAGGCAGGACAGGAGUUUUGAGUAAAAAAAAAAGGCAGGAUGAGACACUUGCAAAAAAAAAAGUCAGGACGACAAUUUAGGUAAAAAAAAGUCAGGAUAAACUUAAAAAAAAAAAAAAAAGGGCAGGACCGAACAGAGUGAAAAAUAAAAAGGCAGGACAGAGAUUACAGCUAAAAAAAAAAUGCAGGACAAAAUUUUUCAUCCUAGCCCCCCCCCCC
rnacentral:lncRNA from 1 species